rnacentral:lncRNA from 1 species
GAUUUAAGGAAGUGGGAUGUAACAAAUCUAGAAACAUGUUUUUCAUACUUCCUUAGUUUUAUGAUAAAUAAUGCUCUCGCCACCACUAUCCCCCUGUGGUGAAGUAUAAAAUAUAUUUGUUUUUAUGUUAGUUUCACCAGCAGGAAUUGUGGUGUCAACAUGAAACAUUAAGACCUCCAUUCUUUUCACCUGCCCGCCUGCAUAAUAAUCCAUUUUGAGGGAACACAGCAAGGAAUGCGGGAAGAAAGGAGGGUGCCUUGUUAAGAGGUUGUCCUUUUAUUUGGUCCAACAGCAUGGAUGGUGAGGUAAAUUUAAAUCAUGCAUAAUUCUUGUUUGCUGGCAAGGUGAAAGUGGCACGUUCUCUCUGACCUACCUUUAAAAUGUAUCCUGGAAUAGUUUAGGACUAAAAGAUAAAAGGAAGCCUAACAGACUGACAGUGCUGAAGCACUGGCCUGCUCUCAAGAAAGUGUAUUGAAACCAACCGUCAGGAUAACUCCCCCCAAAGAAGGUGUUUUUUUGGCUAUACAAAAGAUUAUUGUGAAAACAGUUUAUU